rnacentral:lncRNA from 1 species
GCUAGGGCCUGGAAUGGGGUCCUCAUGACUCUGCCUGGUGCUCUGUUCUACUGUGGCUGGGCUGGUAUCCAAGUUGUAAGACAAAGUCCUCUUUACUUUCCCCUCUUGUAUCCUCAAGUAUAGGGAAGGAGUUGUGAGCUGUACUGCCUGGGGUUGGGGAAGGGGUUAUGCAAGCACUCUGUUAGCCCUCCCAGCUGGUGUCUCACUAGGUUGUGUGCACCCCAAGUCCAGUGGCUCUGAGCCCAGCAUAGCACCAGGACUUGCCCAGGAAUUGCAGUCCUCGUGGCCUAGAGUGCCUUUCAAGUUUAUUUAGGAUCCUAGAGUACUUUAACCUAUGGUGGUGGAGCUUGCCAGAGUUCAGUUUCUGUCUGCUGGGAUGGACAAUUCCCCUCUGGCUAGGGCUCAUCUAAAUGUUCCCUCUGUGGGUGCUGGCUGAAUUUUUCCUUGUUUUGUUUUCCACUGUGAUAGGGCAGAAGUGAGAUCCAAUGCAAAGUCCCACAAUCGCUGCGUAGUCCCUCCCCAAGUGCACAGAUUUUCUCUCCAUGCCACAUGGCCACUGCUGGAGGAUGGGUGGGGGGGUGACAUAAGUGAUUCAAGACUGUCUUUCUUACCCCCUUCUGUAUCUCUUUUCUUAAUAUGAUGUUAAAUCCAGGUACUACGAUUACUCCCCUAAUUUUUGGUUCUUAUGAAGGUGCUUUUUUGUGUGGAUAGUUGUUGAAUUUGGUGUUCCUGUUGCGGAGACCAUCGCUGGAGGGUUCUAUUCGGCCGUCUUGCUCCAUCUCCUGAAGCCUGACUUUUUUGAGCAUGCCCUAACACUAAAGGAAGCCAAAAGAUUGAACACCCCUGUCGUAGAUGGUAAUGAGUCCUGGAUGAAAAAGCCUGCACCCAGCUCUCUUCCUGAUACUCUAAGUUGCAGGGAAGGCUGAAGCUUCUAGCAAUGGGAAGGAGGAGGUGGCCUUCAGUAUGGACUGGCAUUCACUGAGAUAUUGCUUGCACCAUCUGCUCUUUGGACAUCACACCUUUAGCCCAGUGUCUUUGUUUCCUCUUUGGUAUCAGAUUAGCAUGUCCAUGUACUCUGUGUAUCCCUCAUCCCAACCAAAAGCUCCUUCAGAUCCACUGGGGCCCUUUAUAUCACUCCCUUGAUAUAUCCAGAAGUAAGGCAAACUUCCCUUCUGUGUGUGUGCAGGAGAGUUAGACAAAUGUGAAAGCCCUCUUUGGCCCCAUCGUCUCCCCUGUUUUGUUGCUGCACCGUGCUGUCUGGACUGUCUUUAAGAGAACCAGCCAGGUGAGUACUGUAUUCUUAAAAAUCUAUUGUCUUACUGUAAAGCUACAGUAAUCAAGGCAGUGUGGCAUCUGGUGAAAAAAACAGACAAAGAGACAAAUGAAACAGAAUAGAGAGUCCAGAAACGGACCUGCAUGAUUGGUCACCUGAUUUUUGGCAAAGUAACAAAGGCAAUUCAAUGGAGAAAAUGUGGUGCUUUUUUGUUUUGUUUUGUUUGUUUUUUCAACAAAUGUUGCUAGAACAACUGGAACAUCUACAUGCAAAAAUAAAAAUAAAAAUAAAAUUUAAAAAAGACCCAUCUAGAUAAAGCCCUUACACUCUUCACAAAAAUUAACUAAAAAUGGAUCACAGACUUACAUAUAAAACACAAAACAAUAAAAUUCCUACAAGAUACCAUAAAAGAAAACCUAAUUGACCUUGGGUAUGGAGAUGACUUUUAAGAUACAAAACUACAGGCAUGACACAUGAAAGAAAUAAUUGAUAAGCUGGGCUUCAUUAAAAUUAAAAACUUCUCCUCUGUGAAGGACAAUGUCAAGGGAAUGAGAAGACAAGCUACAGACUGGGAGAAAAUAUUUGCAAAAGAGACGUCUGA